UCCAUGUUUACACAUGUUUCGAGCUUUCACCUGGAGGAGAUUUCUCACUUAAUACAAUGUCGUCAAAGAAAAACAAAAGCAAAGCUAACAGAGCGAGUGAAGGAGACAGUUCGCUGCUGUCGAAGGAGACCUCGAGCGACUCCUCCAACCUGCAGACACCUGGGCGCGAGGGAGGAAGGCGCGCGAGUCUACACAGCAACUCCUUCACUGUCAUCGAUUUCAUUGAUAAAGCCGACGACAAAACGCCCAAAAGUUGCAGAUCGACUUUAGUCCAGCUGAGCCUCAACUCGAUGAAGUCCGCCGGCGUCUGCAUCGGGAGGCCGGUCCUGCUCACGAGUCCCACGGGCAGACAAGAGGUGUGCUCGGGUUGGCCCGUCGCCUCCUUUCCUGCAGGAAAAGUGGGUCUUCAGAAAUGUGCCCAGAACAACCUGAGAGCGAGGUCCGGGGAGGAGGUGACGCUGCACCCCCUGACGGGUCCCGUGCUCCGGGCCGAGGAGGUGGUUCUCUUCAACAGGACUAAAGAUGACACGCUGGAGACGGACGAGUUCAAGAGCUUCUUCCUGCGCUCUUUGGAUGGGAACGUCCUUCUCCCAGGAAACGUCGUCUCGCUGUCGUACUUCGGCCGCUCGUGCACUCUGCGCGUCGAGACCAUAACGGGCGAGGACGGCGUCACCGUCCACCGAGCGGCUCCGGAGCCGGAGGACUCCUCCUCCUCCGUUCUGCUGGACUCCCCCUCGGCCGACCUCUCCCUGCAGCUCAGCCUGCUCACCGUGGACGACGACGGCACCGCCGCCGCCGGGUCACCCUCGUCCGGGGAGCCGGGCCCGGCGGCCAGCACCCCACGCCGCGCCCCCGUCUCCUCGCCCCUCGCUCCCCGCACGCCGCCCCCCCGGAGUCCUCCCGCCGAGGACGCCGUCAGUCCGGAGCGGGCGGAGAAAAAACUCCCCGCGGCGCCCCCUGGUGGCGCGCUGAGCACCGACACCUUCUACCGCCUGUCCUGCGCCACCAAAGUCCGAGUCGGACGCGGGGCGGGGCGGGAGGAUCCGGCGGACGCGCAGGACUCGAGGUCAAAGGUCACUUUCAGCAUGAUCGGAGGGCUCAGCAGCCAGCUGGAUGCCAUCAGAGAGACCAUUGAGCUUCCGCUGAAGCACCCCGAGCUGUUCUCCACCUACGGGAUCCAGCCGCCCCGCGGGGUGCUUCUGUACGGGCCCCCCGGCACCGGGAAGACCAUGAUUGGUCGAGCCAUAGCCAAUGAGGUCGGCGUUCACAUGACGGUGAUCAACGGGCCGGAGAUCAUGAGCAAAUUCUACGGUGAAACGGAGGCGAGGCUGAGGCAGAUAUUCGCCGAGGCGUCUCAGAAACGGCCGGCGAUAAUCUUCAUCGACGAGCUGGACGCUCUGUGCCCGAAGCGAGACGGGGCGCAGAACGAGGUGGAGAAGCGCGUCGUCGCUUCUCUCCUGACUCUGAUGGACGGCAUCGGCUCGGAGGGCCACUCGGGUCAGCUGUUGGUUUUGGGGGCCACAAACCGGCCCCACGCCAUCGACCCCGCCCUGCGCCGACCGGGGCGCUUCGACAAGGAGCUGGAGGUCGGCGUUCCGAACGCCGCGGAGCGGGCCGACAUCCUGAGGAAGCAGCUGAGAUUCGUGCCGUGCGGCGCCGCCGCCGAGGAGGUGACGCAGCUGGCCGCCGCCGCUCACGGCUACGUGGGAGCCGACCUCGCCGCCGUCUGCAAAGAGGCAGGUAUGCGUGCCCUGAGGCGAGCGCUGGCCGCUUCCUCCCCGCCGCCGUCGGACGAGCAGCUGACCGGCACGGUGACCGUCACCCUGCAGGACCUCCAGUGGGCCAUGACGGUGGUGAAGCCGAGCGCCAUGAGGGAGGUCGCCAUCGACGUGCCCAAGGUCCGCUGGUCGGACGUCGGCGGGAUGGAGGAGGUGAAGCUGAAACUGAAGCAGGCCGUGGAGUGGCCCCUGAAGCACCCCGAGGCCUUCACCCGCAUGGGCAUCCAGCCCCCUAAAGGGGUCCUGCUGUACGGGCCCCCGGGCUGCUCAAAGACCAUGAUCGCCAAGGCCCUGGCCAACGAGAGCGGGCUCAACUUCCUGGCCGUCAAAGGUCCAGAGUUGCUGAGCAAGUACGUCGGCGAGUCGGAGCGAGCCGUGAGAGAGGUGUUUCGGAAGGCGAGGGCCGUCGCUCCCUCCAUCAUCUUCUUCGACGAGAUCGACGCCCUCGCCGGCGAAAGAGGAAGCUCCUCGGGCUCCGCCGGCGGCGUCGGCGACCGCGUCCUGGCUCAGCUCCUGACGGAGAUGGACGGCAUCGAGCAGCUCCGGGACGUCACCGUGCUGGCCGCCACCAACCGGCCCGACAUGAUCGAUAAGCUUUCCUUCGCUCUCUUAUCCACCUCCAUCUCCGUCCUAAUGACAUUUCCUGAGUGCUCAUCAAAGGAAAGGAGCCUGUGCCUCGUCAAGAAGGACACAGGAAAGGAAAGGAGACUGUCGAGGGUGCUUCUUAAGCCGCUUCUGAGGCAGCCGUCUGCCUCUGUCCUUCUUCCUCCUCGACUCUCUAAAUAUACUUUUACACCUCCGAUGCUGAAAGAUAAUUCUAACGAUGAUCACGGCUUCAUUUUAUUAACGGUUUUACCUCAAAUAGAGAUUCUGGGGAUCCUCACACGUCCGAUAAUAGAGUUAAGAAAAUAAAAGUAUCUUUUCCAAUGUUUUCUGUCAUAAAAAAGUCAGUUUAUUUGAUAAAUAAAUACACUUUUUAUACUUUUGUUUGCACCUAAAUACAAAUUUCUCUUCUUUUAGUUUUACAAAAACGCGUUUCUCGUUUUACGUGACGUUUAAGGUCGAGGUCUUUUAUUCUGAAACUGCAUAUCCAACGUUAAAAGAUAAUAAUAGUGAUAAUAACGGAUUCAUUUUUCUUAACGAUUUUACUUAAAAUAGAGAUUCUGUGAAUCCUGUCGUGAUGAUUUACGUCCAUCGUGAUUAUCGGACACGACUCACACGUCCGAUAAUAGAGUUAAGAAAAUAAAAGUAUCUUUUCCAAUGUUUUCUGGCAUUAAAAAGUCAGUUUAUUUGAUAAAUAAAUACACUUUUUACACUUUUUUGGGUGUUAUUUUGCACCUAAAAUGCACGUUUCUCCUCUAUUAAUUCACAAAAACGCGUUUCGAGACGCAGCUGGGUCGGGUGCCGGUGACGAGAGGCCGGCCUGCUAUUGGACGAUAUCUAAAGCCCAGGUGUUGCUCUCCGUCCUGGGGAUGGGAAAUGUCAUCCAGUGAUGUCAUCAACGCACUGAUGAGCCACCACCUAUAUGUCUGAGUGGUCCCCUAAAAAUUUACAUUAAAGGCUCUCGGUGAAAGAGAACGAGGGCAAAGGAGCAGCGCCGGUGGAGGUGUAGUGAACACAAUGGUCGUGUAAACCGAGCGAGCGCCUCCGCCGCGACAACAAAAAAAACAGAACCAGGGCUGACAUGAAGCAGGUCCGGUGUCCCUCUGAACACGGCCACACCCCCAAAGUUACGUCAUCUCCGAGUUUAAGAGAGAGGCUCUGAUGCGUCCGGGUCGCCUCGACCGCAUCGUCUACGUUCCUCUCCCCGACGCUCCGACCCGGCGGGAGAUAUUUGCGAUCCAG